UGGCGGACAGAUCAGCAGGUAAUGUCGGUUUGGGGUAGUGACAGGGCCGUGUGCGGGAGUGCUGUACGCCAAAUGCCAAAUUGGCGGACAGAAGACGGCGUCCCCAGGCGUUGAGGUGGAGCCCGUCUGCCCCAAAAAGAUGCCUCCUCUCCCAGAAGGCAUCAAAAUUGUUAAUAAAACCCACACCGUGGGAGACACAGGCGGAGGAAAGUCAGGUGUUAAGGCUGAGCAGCCGGCUGAAACGGCCUAUCCCUCUGCCGCAGGUGGGGGUGGGCCCGGAGAUAAAAGCACUCACCUGCAACUGACCAAGGAGGCUGAAGAGUUGGCCUGUGGGUGGGACGCCAGGAUGUUGGGAAUUCUGUCCACUAUGUCGACGACGGUGGCUCCCGGGAACGACAGCGUGAGCGCCCCCCUCAUCCGCACGUUCCUGACGAUGGAAUCCCCGAGGACCAGCAUGGAGAGAGGAGGUGCCACCGGGGACUGCUGACCAUCUGAGACGCUCCGCGCCGCGGCACCGGGGGUGUUCAAAUGGAGAUGCACCAGCCGGGCCACGUGAGUGACUCCCAGGUAGCCGCGCCGUGGGUCCUCUUCUCCGAGGAGCCGGGGUAAAGCUCAGUUCUCCGCGGCGAGUUUGCACCACAGCGUCGGGCUGCCCGCCGCGGCUCCGGGGACGUAGUGGUGGAGAUGGCGCAGACCUCAGCGACACAGCGGGAUGGCGAGGGCUAGCGGCUAGAGGAGGAAAGUCCACAGAAUCCAGGACACUGAAUUUAUUCUCCAGCACUACCGCACCGGAGGGGUGAGGGUGCGAGAGACGGAUCCUCCUGGCCCCUCUGCAGCCACCGCGCGUCCCAACCACGGUCCAUGGCGCUGGUUGGAGUGGAGUGGAGCUGACCAGAGCCUUGGGUCUGGCCCCUAGUGAUAGGUUUGUAGCAUAAACCUAUUUGCUGGAACGUUUAGGACAAUUUGCUACACAGCAAGAACAAGACACAAGUAGGCAACGUCUUUGUGUUACUCAUGCAUGAGGAGGCCUGUCUGGAGCCAAGUGUCGUUCCACCCACUUGACCUCCGUCAGACUCUCAGCCAGGUUCCCCAUAGCACUCCUUUUAUUGUGGUUACAUGAAUAUGCAUAGGUUCAUUAACAUAUAACAUCUUACAUAGGUAUACAUGUGAACAAAGAAUACCCUGUGUGUGUGUAUGUGUGUGUGUUUGUGUGUAUGUGUGUGUGGGGUCAGUGGGUGACCCCAUAAAUGACUUCCCUAAACCUGCUGGCCUGGAAGUCCAGCAGUUCAUCUAAACAAAAGGCACUUAGACUAAAACAGAUAUAGAUACGUUUAUCCUACCAUAAAACAAUAAGACAAGGUACGACCUCUCCCAUGCUCCCAAAAUGUGGGUGUGAAAGCCAGAGCACUCUGGAAUGCACACAAAGCCUACUGAAGAUCACACAUCCUAUCACUACACAAUCGAUUAUACACCUCUAAGCAUAUAUGGUUAAAUAUUUCUUAAUACAAAUGACAAUAAUAAAAUCUAAACCCAUCACCUAGUUGAAACCAGCAGUUCUCGUCCAUGGCAGAAACACCAGCGACACAAGUUGAGAGCCUGGGUUGACUGUUGGCGAGAUCUUGGGACACAACAGCUGGGUGGUGCACUGUGUCGGCUAGCUCAGCGCUAGUAGCGGUGGUUUGAGCUUUGCCAAGGAGGGUCAUCAGCUGUUCUUUAUCCUCUCUGGAUGAACUGCAAC
ensembl:lncRNA